rnacentral:ncRNA from 2 species
AAAAGCUUUCAGGGCAGGGUGAAAUUCCCGAUCGGCGGUAAAGUCCGCGAGCUGAUAAUUCAGCAUGAACUGGUUAGAUUCCAGUACCGACAGUAAAGUCUGGAUAAAAGAAAGAAAGA